rnacentral:lncRNA from 1 species
GUCAGAAGCAUCGUGUCCUGGGUGACAGUAGUGGUAGGUCAGAAGCAUCGUGUCCUGGGUGACAGUAGUGGGAGAUCAGAAGCAUCGUGUCCUGGGUGACAGUAGUGGGAGGUCAGAAGCAUCGUGUCCUGGGUGACAGUAGUGGGAGAUCAGAAGCAUCGUGUCCUGGGUGACUGUAGUGGGAGGUCAGAAGCAUCGUGUCCUGGGUGACAGUAGUGGGAGGUCAGAAGCAUCGUGUCCUGGGUGACUGUAGUGGGAGGUCAGAAGCAUCGUGUCCUGGGUGACAGUAGUGGGAGGUCGGAAGCAUCGUGUCCUGGGUGACUGUAGUGGGAGGUCAGAAGCAUCGUGUCCUGGGUGACAGUAGUGGGAGGUCAGAAGCAUCGUGUCCUGGGUGACAGUAGUGGGAGGUCGGAAGCAUCGUGUCCUGGGUGACAGUAGUGGGAGGUCAGAAGCACGUGUCCUGGGUGACAGUAGUGGGAGAUCGGAAGCAUCGGCGGCGUGGCAGACCACUGGUUCAACAGCCUCUCAUCUGCUUGGCCUGUCCAACGGGCCUGUUUGGAUUGGGACGGCCCAUAAAGUUCAGUGUGGAGUUAAAUUGUCACUGUCAGACAGGAGCUGUUUACCGUUACUCGUU